rnacentral:tRNA from 4 species
GUUGGGGUGGCAGAGCCCGGUAACUGCGAAAGGCCUAAGCCCUUUCUACGGAGGUUCAAGUCCUCCCCUCAACC